CAGUCGCCACGGUAAUACCAGCAGCCCAAGUGGUGGUCGCGAUUAUUGGGCCUAAAGCGCUCGUAGCCGGGCCGGUAAGUCCCUUGUGAAAUCGGACGGCCUAACCGUUCGGCGUGCAAGGGAUACUGUCGGUCUUGAGGCCGGGAGACGUCCGAGGUACUCCGGGGGUAGCGGUGAAAUGUUCUGAUCCUCGGGGGACCACCGGUGGCGAAGGCGUUCGACGAGAACGGGCCUGACGGUGAGGGGCGAAGGCUAGGGGAGCAAACAGGAUUAGAUACCCGAGUAGUCCCUGUCUCUUAUA
rnacentral:rRNA from 1 species